rnacentral:rRNA from 1 species
GACGAACGCUGGCGGCGUGCUUAACACAUGCCAGUCGAACGGAAAGGCCCUGCUUUUGUGGGGUGCUCGAGUGGCGAAAGGGUGAGUAACACGUGAGUAACCUGCCCUUGACUUUGGGAUAACUUCAGGAAACUGGGGCUAAUACCGGAUAGGAGCUCCUGCUGCAUGGUGGGGGUUGGAAAGUUUCGGCGGUUGGGGAUGGACUCGCGGCUUAUCAGCUUGGUGGUGGGGUAGUGGCUUACCAAGGCUUUGACGGGUAGCCGGCCUGAGAGGGUGACCGGCGACACUGGGACUGAGAUACGGCCAAGAAUCCUACGGGAGGCAGCAGUGGGGAAUAUUGCACAAUGGGCGGAAGCCUGAUGCAGCAAAGCCGCGUGCGGGAUGACGGCCUUCGGGUUGUAAACCGCUUUCGCCUGUGACGAAGCGUGAGUGACGGUAAUGGGUAAAGAAGCACCGGCUAACCACGUG